rnacentral:rRNA from 1 species
GACGAACGCUGGCGGCGUGCUUAACACAUGCAAGUCGAACGGAAAGGCCUCUUUCGGGGGGUACUCGAGUGGCGAACGGGUGAGUAACACGUGAGUAACCUGCCCUUGACUUUGGGAUAACUUCAGGAAACUGGGGCUAAUACCGGAUAGGAGCUCCUGCUGCAUGGUGGGGGUUGGAAAGUUUCGGCGGUUGGGGAUGGACUCGCGGCUUAUCAGCUUGUUGGUGGGGUAGUGGCUUACCAAGGCUUUGACGGGUAGCCGGCCUGAGAGGGUGACCGGCCACAUUGGGACUGAGAUGCGGCCCAGACUCCUACGGGAGGACGCAGUGGGGAAUAUUGCACAAUGGGUGGAAGCCUGAUGCAGCAACGCCGUGUGCGGGAUGACGGCCUUCGGGUUGUAAACCGCUUUCGCUCAUGACGAAGCUUUGUGUGACGGUAGUGGGUAAAGAAGCACCGGCUAACUACGUG